GCUUACGGCCACACCGUGGUUCACGCCCGAUUUCGUUUGAUCUCGGAAGCUAAGAUAGGUUGGCCCUGGUUAGUACUUGGAUGGGAGACCGCCUGGGAAUACCAGGUGCUGUAAGCU
rnacentral:rRNA from 1 species